CCUACGGGGGGCAGCAGUGAGGAAUAUUGGUCAAUGGGCGGGAGCCUGAACCAGCCAAGUCGCGUGAGGGAAGACGGUCCUAUGGAUUGUAAACCUCUUUAGGCGGGGAUAAAGGUGUCCACGUGUGGAUGUUUGCAGGUAUCGCAUGAAUAAGGACCGCCUAAUUCCGUGCCAGCAGCCGCGGUAAUACGGAAGGUCCGGGCGUUAUCCGGGUUUAUUGGGUUUAAAGGGAGCGUAGGCCGGUCUUUAGGCGUGCCGUGAAAUUUUGUGGUUCAACCAUGAGAGUGCGGCGCGAACUGGAGACCUUGAGUGCGCGGAAGGCAGGCGGAAUUCGUGGUGUAGCGGUGAAAUGCUUAGAUAUCACGAAGAACCCCGAUUGCGAAGGCAGCCUGCCGCAGCGUUACUGACGCUGAAGCUCGAAAGCGCGGGUAUCGAACAGGAUUAGAUACCCGGGUAGUC
rnacentral:rRNA from 1 species